rnacentral:rRNA from 1 species
CAUGGCUCAGAUUGAACGCUGGCGGCAGGCCUAACACAUGCAAGUCGAGCGGAUGAAGGGAGCUUGCUCCUGGAUUCAGCGGCGGACGGGUGAGUAAUGCCUAGGAAUCUGCCUGGUAAUGGGGGAUAACGUCCGGAAACGGGCGCUAAUACCGCAUACGUCCUGAGGGAGAAAGUGGGGGAUCUUCGGACCUCACGCUAUCAGAUGAGCCUAGGUCGGAUUAGCUAGUUGGUGGGGUAAAGGCCUACCAAGGCGACGAUCCGUAACUGGUCUGAGAGGAUGAUCAGUCACACUGGAACUGAGACACGGUCCAGACUCCUACGGGAGGCAGCAGUGGGGAAUAUUGGACAAUGGGCGAAAGCCUGAUCCAGCCAUGCCGCGUGUGUGAAGAAGGUCUUCGGAUUGUAAAGCACUUUAAGUUGGGAGGAAGGGCAGUAAGUUAAUACCUUGCUGUUUUGACGUUACCAACAGAAUAAGCACCGGCUAACUUCGUGCCAGCAGCCGCGGUAAUACGAAGGGUGCAAGCGUUAAUCGGAAUUACUGGGCGUAAAGCGCGCGUAGGUGGUUCAGCAAGUUGGAUGUGAAAUCCCCGGGCUCAACCUGGGAACUGCAUCCAAAACUACUGAGCUAGAGUACGGUAGAGGGUGGUGGAAUUUCCUGUGUAGCGGUGAAAUGCGUAGAUAUAGGAAGGAACACCAGUGGCGAAGGCGACCACCUGGACUGAUACUGACACUGAGGUGCGAAAGCGUGAGGAGCAAACAGGAUUAGAUACCCUGGUAGUCCACGCCGUAAACGAUGUCGACUAGCCGUUGGGAUCCUUGAGAUCUUAGUGGCGCAGCUAACGCGAUAAGUCGACCGCCUGGGGAGUACGGCCGCAAGGUUAAAACUCAAAUGAAUUGACGGGGGCCCGCACAAGCGGUGGAGCAUGUGGUUUAAUUCGAAGCAACGCGGAGAACCUUACCUGGCCUUGACAUGCUGAGAACUUUCCAGAGAUGGAUUGGUGCCUUCGGGAACUCAGACACAGGUGCUGCAUGGCUGUCGUCAGCUCGUGUCGUGAGAUGUUGGGUUAAGUCCCGUAACGAGCGCAACCCUUGUCCUUAGUUACCAGCACCUCGGGUGGGCACUCUAAGGAGACUGCCGGUGACAAACCGGAGGAAGGUGGGGAUGACGUCAAGUCAUCAUGGCCCUUACGGCCAGGGCUACACACGUGCUACAAUGGUCGGUACAAAGGGUUGCCAAGCCGCGAGGUGGAGCUAAUCCCAUAAAACCGAUCGUAGUCCGGAUCGCAGUCUGCAACUCGACUGCGUGAAGUCGGAAUCGCUAGUAAUCGUGAAUCAGAAUGUCACGGUGAAUACGUUCCCGGGCCUUGUACACACCGCCCGUCACACCAUGGGAGUGGGUUGCUCCAGAAGUAGCUAGUCUAACCGCAAGGGGGACGGUUACCACGGAGUGAUUCAUGACUGGGGUGAAGUCGUAACAAGGUAACCGU